GCUUCAGGGUUGUGUGUAAUUCACUACCGGCGGUAUUUGGCAUAAGCCAUAAGCCCGCGAGCCGAAAGGCAUGAUUUGGUGCGAAUCCAAAGCCGACAGUAAAGUCUGGAUGAGAGAAG
rnacentral:ncRNA from 1 species